rnacentral:misc_RNA from 1 species
AACGGUCUAUACCUGCGGUACCUGCGGAAGGAUCAUUACUGAGUGAGGGCCCUCUGGGUCCAACCUCCCACCCGUGUUUAACGAACCUUGUUGCUUCGGCGGGCCCGCCUCACGGCCGCCGGGGGGCAUCCGCCCCCGGGCCCGCGCCCGCCGAAGACACCUGUGAACUCUGUCUGAAGUUGCAGUCUGAGAAACUAUUUAAAUUAGUUAAAACUUUCAGCAACGGAUCUCUAGAUCGGA